UGGGCGCUGUUAUUAUUACACGAUUGGCUCCGAGACGCACUCGGAGUAUCUCCAGACCUUUUAUACACGAUGCUUAUGUAACGAUCAGCCACCGUAGUCGACAAUGAAAUUGUUAUCAGUUUGACUGUUGGGCCUGCUUUGGAAGUUAUUUAUCAGUGAAUUAGGACGAAGUCGCUCAUGGCUUAGAUAAUCGUUGGAAGACCGACACAAGCGGUACAUUACAUCUUACAGUGUCGCAUCAAAAUACAGAAUGGCAGAAAUAACGGAACAAACGAAAGAUGGAGCGGCGAAAGUGGUUUUCAUGAUCGUAGUCUUUAUUGCUGCAACAGCUACAAGAGGUGACUGGCUGUUGUUUAUGGUUUACAUAAGCAAAUCGCAAUGGCAGACGAUGUUGAACACUUCCGCCCUGUACGAGCAGGUGAACGAUUCCGUGUCGUCUGGGGACGUGGGAUUACUGGAGAGCUGGAAAUUACAAAACCUACCGAUUUUCCUCCUGCUAGCUGUGACGUCAUCGUUUGUGAUGUACUACGGAGUUGCGUAUGGAUUUAUGUGGUAUUUCUACAUAAACCGUCGGGACAAGGCUCACGAGUGGAAGUGCCAACCAGACAAGUUUUUGACACCGUCGAAUGAGAGACAUGAGAUUCUGCUUGGGUCGGCUAACAUGCUUGGCGGUUCUUUAGUAUCAGGGGUCAUUGCGUGCUAUAUAAUGAACGGUGGUUAUAGCAGUAUGUACUACGGGCUUUCUGACUACGGCUGGAGUUACCUUCCCCUGUCGGCAUUUGCGAUGUUCAUGUACAACGACUGUCUAGCAUACUACCUCCACCGCCUGUUCCACUAUCCUUUUCUGUACCGGCAUAUCCACAAGAUGCACCACCGAUACCACCAGCCGACGGCCUUCUCUGCUGUGGCCAUGCACCCGGCCGAGUUUGUUCUGUACCAGGGGUAUUUGGCGGCGAUCCCUUUUAUGGUACCCAUCCACCCAGGCUCAACAGAUAAGUUCUGGAUUCUGACUGAAGAACCAGGUGAGAGAUACAGGCCUUCUGCACUUCAUGUUCAAGAUCUGGGAUGAAGCAUCAAGUUUUAGUUCUCCUUAGAAUUCUUAUGGCUUUCUCAUAGUGUGGAGUUAUAAUGAUACAGCUGUCUAUGUUCCCGUCCUACUGUAUACCUACUACUACGGACUGAUGGAC
rnacentral:misc_RNA from 1 species